AACAUGGCGACGUGGCUAGACGUGCGGGGCGUCAAUUUAACUUGUUAUUUUUUUGUACAAAACUAGGAAAAAGGUAGCCAGUCGAAUAUCAGCUGCCUCUCAUAACAUGUUUGUUCUCGUACUGUGGUUUUCUGGGGGGUGGGGGGGAAAUAGCAACACUGGUUGCGGAACAUCAAAUGGAGAUCAAGUGUGUUGAUGAAGGUGACCCCCCUGUCUUUUGGUUGGUUGUUUGAACUUGCAGUUACAACUUGAAAUAAUUCAGAGUCCCUCAAAAAGGAAAAGAAAAGACAAAGCUUUUUACAAAACUCAACUGUUUUGGAUCUUGAACUGUUUACAAAAGGUAAAGACGAAGUCGAGAGGUGAGAUAGCUUUGGUGACAGUUUGCUGGCAAGUUCUCAAAUGGAUAUCGGGAGCUAACUGGAGUUUCUUGGACCACUCAAAGCUGGAUGACUAAUAUUAAUAAUCGAAAGAAGCUAAAUUGGAUCGACCCCCAAUUCAGAGAAUAAAAUGAAAAAAUUGGGGUUUCAUUCGUUCACCAUUUCCCAACAAAGCCGCCUCCAUUAAAAAGUUUAGAACAGAUAUCUAUCUACUUUGGAAAAUUAACCAAAAGCGGUUCCCUUCCCACACCCGUCAAUUAAAUUAGUAUAUCUUUUAUAUAUCUUUUAAAACAGUCAAUUGAUGAUAUUACAGUACAGUAUUACAAUACAACCUUUAAUAUACAUGUCUAUAACAAUAGUAAUUUUACAAUAUUCCUCUUACAAUCUCAUAGUACAGUAAUAUUACAAUAACUCUAGUCUGUUAUAUCUUAUAGUACAGUAAUAUUACAAUAACUCUAGUCUGUUAUAUCUUAUAGUACAGUAAGAUUACAAUAAUUCUAGUAAGUUAUUAUCUGAUAUUACAGUACAGUAUUACAAUACAAUCCUUUAAUGUACAUGUCUAUAACAAUAGUAAUUUUACAAUAUUCCUCUUACAAUCUUAUAGUGCAGUAAUAUUACAAUAAUUCUAGUCAGUGAUAUCUUUUAGUACAGUAAUAUUACAAUAAUUCUAGUCAGUGAUAUCUUUUAGUACAGUAAUAUUAAAAUUCUAGUCUUUUCUUUUUCGUCCGACCAUCCUCCCCCACCAUGCCCACUCUUCAAAGGCAUCGUUUAAGUGUUUUAAUAAGUUGUCUACUUUGUGGUACAAACAUUAUUCUUUUGAAAACGCAUGCUUUUCUUGUAGAGCAAAUGUCUGUCCUAAUACACAUGCGUAUUACAAGAAAUAUUCAGCUAUUUUCGGAUUUGUCAUUCUCUAACGCCUGACAGUUACAUUUUAAGCCCUCUGACGGCUGACAGUUACAUUUUAAGCCCUCUGACGGCUGACAGUUACAUUUUAAGCCCUCUGACAGCUGACGGUUAAACCCUGUUAAGACCCUCUACGCAUCCUGUUGCUUUUCCACAUAUGCAACGAUGAUGGUCAUAUGAUGUUGAAGGAGGAGUUCAUGCGAUGAAAAAUUUUGGUCAAACUGAAGUCUGAAACUUGGACCUUCCAUUUUCUUGUCCUCCUUUUACGAUCUGAAGGAAAC
rnacentral:lncRNA from 1 species